GAUGAACGCUGGCGGCGUGCCUAAUACAUGCAAGUCGAGCGAACAGACGAGGAGCUUGCUCCUCUGACGUUAACGGCGGACGGGUGAGUAACACGUGGAUAACCUACCUAUAAGACUGGGAUAACUUCGGGAAACCGGAGCUAAUACCGGAUAAUAUAUUGAACCGCAUGGUUCAAUAGUGAAAGACGGUUUUGCUGUCACUUAUAGAUGGAUCCGCGCCGCAUUAGCUAGUUGGUAAGGUAACGGCUUACCAAGGCAACGAUGCGUAGCCGACCUGAGAGGGUGAUCGGCCACCCUGGAACUGAGACACGGUCCAGACUCCUACGGGAGGCAGCAGUAGGGAAUCUUCCGCAAUGGGCGAAAGCCUAACGGAGCAACGCCGCGUGAGUGAUGAAGGUCUUCGGAUCGUAAAACUCUGUUAUUAGGGAAGAACAAAUGUGUAAGUAACUAUGCACGUCUUGACGGUACCUAAUCAGAAAGCCACGGCUAACUACGUG
rnacentral:rRNA from 1 species